AUCCUGGUCAGGAUUGAAACGCUUGGGCGGGCAUGCUUAACACAUGCAAGUUCGAACGGGAAGUGGUUUGUUUCCAGUGGCGAAAGGGUGAGUAAUAACGGUAAGAACCUGCACUGGGAGGGGAAAAACAACUGGAACGGUUGAUAAUACCCGUAGCUGAGGAGCAAAAGGAGACAUCCGCCCAGGGAGGGGCUUCGCGUCUGAUUAGCUAUUGGUGAGGCAAAAGCUUACCAAGCGAUGAUCGUAGGCUGGUCGAGAGGCUGAUUCAGCCCACAAUGGGGACGAGACAAGGCCCAGACUCCUACGGAUGGCAGCAGUGGGGAAUUUUCCAAUGGCGAAAGCCUGUGCGGAGCAAGCGCGUGGAGGUGGAAAGGCCUACGGGUGUUCAACUUCUUUUCUCGGAGAGAGAAACAAUGACGGUAUCUGAGGAAUAAGCAUCGGCUAACCUGUGCCAGCAAGCCGCGGUAAGAAAGAGGAGGCAAGGUUAUAUCGGAAGAUUGGGCGUGUUAAAGGCGUCUGUUAGGUGGCUUUCAGUCCGCCGUCCAAAUCCCAGGGCUAACCCGGACAGGCGGUGGAAACUACCAAGCUGCGGAGUACGGUAGGGGCAGAGGGAAUUUCCGGUGGACGGUGAAAUGCAUUGAGCGGAAAAGAACACCAACGGCGCGAAAGCACUCUGCGAGGCCGACACUGACACUGAGAGACGAAAAGCUAGGGGAGCAAAUGGGAGUUAGAGACCCCAAGUAGUCCUAGCCGUAAACGAUGGAUGACUAGGUGCUGUGCGAUCGACCGUGCAGUGCUGUAGCUAAACGCGUUAAGUAUCCGCCUGGGAAGUACGUUCGAAAAGAAUGAAACCAAAGGAAUUGAAGGGGCCCGCAACAAGCGGUGGAGCAUGUGGUUUCAUUCGAUGCAAAGCGAAGAACAUUAACAGGGCUGGACAUGCCGGAAUCCUUUGAAGGAGGGGUGCCCUCGGGAACGCGGACCACAGGUGGGCAUGGCUGUAGUCAGCUCGUGCCGUAAGGUGUUGGGUGAAGUCUCGCAACGAGCGCAACCCUCGUGUAGUUGCCAUAUGAGGUGGAACCUUGAACAGAACGCGGUGUUAAGCCGGAGGAAGGAGCGGAUGAGGCCAAGUAUCAUGCCCGUAUGCCCUGGGCGACACACGUGCUACAAUGGGCGGGACAAAGGGUCGCGAUCUCGCGAGGGGAGCUAACUCAAAAACCAGUCGCUAAGUUCGGAUUGCAGGCUGCAACUCGCCUGCAUGAAGCAGGGAAUCGCUAGUAAUCGAAGGUCAGCCAUACGGACGGUGACUCCGUUCACGAGGCCUUGUACACACGCCGUACACUUAGGAGUGCAGGUUUGAAGUCAUUACCUUAACCGUAGGGAGGGGGAUGCCUAAGACGUAGGCUGCGACUGGCGUGAAGUCGUAACAAGGUUAGCCGUAUGGAAGGCCGGCUG
rnacentral:rRNA from 1 species